AGAGUUUGAUCAUGGCUCAGGAUGAACGCUGGCGGCGUGCCUAACACAUGCAAGUCGAACGAAGCACUUCGAUUUCUUCGGAAUGAAAAAAGUGACUGAGUGGCGGACGGGUGAGUAACGCGUGGGUAACCUGCCUCAUACAGGGGGAUAACAGUUAGAAAUGACUGCUAAUACCGCAUAAGCGCACAGUAUCGCAUGAUACAGUGUGAAAAACUCCGGUGGUAUGAGAUGGACCCGCGUCUGAUUAGCUAGUUGGUGAGGUAAUGGCUCACCAAGGCGACGAUCAGUAGCCGACCUGAGAGGGUGAUCGGCCACAUUGGAACUGAGAUACGGUCCAGACUCCUACGGGAGGCAGCAGUGGGGAAUAUUGGGCAAUGGGCGAAAGCCUGACCCAGCAACGCCGCGUGAGGGAAGAAGGGUUUCGGCUCGUAAACCUCUGUCCUAWGGGAMRAAGAAGUGACGGUACCAUAGGAGGAAGCCCCGGCUAACUACGUGCCAGCAGCCGCGGUAAUACGUAGGGGGCGAGCGUUGUCCGGAAUGAUUGGGCGUAAAGGGCGCGUAGGCGGCCCGUUAAGUCUGGAGUGAAAGUCCCGCUUUCAAGGUGGGAAUUGCUUUGGAUACUGAUGGGCUUGAGUGCAGGAGAGGAAAGCGGAAUUACCGGUGUAGCGGUGAAAUGCGUAGAGAUCGGUAGGAACACCAGUGGCGAAGGCGGCUUUCUGGACUGAAACUGACGCUGAGGCGCGAAAGCGUGGGGAGCUGCAGGAUUAGAUACCCUGGUAGUCCACGCGGUAAACGUGUUCUAGGUGUUGGAGGUAUCGACCCCUUCAGUGCCGCAGUAAACACAAUAAGCAUCCGCCUGGG
rnacentral:rRNA from 1 species